CUGUUUAGAGUGUGAGAGCAGCUAUGAACACUUUCUUAGAUUAUAAACUAUGCAAACUGUGAUCUUCUGCCCUUGAGAUUAAACUAGCAAGUACUAUGAAGAUUGUGAUUAGCUAGUGAGAAACAGAAGAAUGACUCAAAAAGGGACUAUAUCCCUAAAGGCCCUGAAUCAAGGCACAGAGGCAGUACCAUCGGGGUGACAGAUAUGGGACACUGGAGGACUGAAAACUAAUAUCAGAA